rnacentral:lncRNA from 1 species
AACAAAGAGUUUCAAUUCAAUUAAUGAUAUCAGAUAUUAUUAGUAAAAUAAAUGAACAUAAAAAAAAGUAUUAAAAGUAAACCAACAUAACAAAAAUAACUCAUCUUUUGGGGAAUCUAAUUAAGUUAAUUAAGAAUUAUAAAGUUAGAGUUAAACAACAAAUAAUAAAUAAUCACAAUUAAAUAAUUAAAGAGUAAGGGAGAAAUUGAAUUUGGGCCUCCUUUUGGUCCAAUUUCGCUGGAUUUUUUGGGGGUUUAAUUCUAAACCCAUUUUUGUAUACAUUUGUUGUAUAUCAGUGUAUAUAGGCAUGUAUAUCAGCACUUUCCGUGUAUCUCCUGCUUCCGAACACCUGUAUCUUACCUCGUCUCUGUAUUUUUGCAUUUUUUGACCUGUAAUUCACUAUAUAAUGAGUGUAUACUGUUGUAUACAAUAUGUAUACAGCCCAUUUCUUGGGCUUUUGAAUUAAUUUCCAGCAGCAUGUCGGGUCUCUGGGGCUGGUAACAGCUUCCGAAUAUGUAAGGGGCUGACUCGAGAAAUAGGGACAACAAAGAUCAAGCUUUUAUGGCUCAACUCAAAAUGCAAGGUAUAUAAGUCCACCAUGGACUCGGGAGGGGUUUAUGCGACAAAGAAAGGAGCCAAAUUAGUAUGUGAAAUAAGUAAGCAAUUAGGAUAUAACUUAAUUAGAAUGAAAGCAACUUAAAUAUUUUUGAGCUAAAAAUGUCACCCCAAGUCACUAUGAGACCAAAUUGAGACCCAAAUGUCAUAAAUUUCAAUACAAGAUAAGGGGUAAUAAAACAAAUACUAAAGUAAUGAAAAUCAAGACACAAGGAACUUCAAAGGCACAGGCCUAUAUAUAUGUGUGUAUAUAUUACUAAAAAUUUAAGCAAUAAUUAACACAAUCCAAGGAUACAUUAAACAGCUAACAUCAUCUCAUACAAUACGAAACUAGAUUUAUUUAUGGAGACUUGAGGCUGUCAUUUUGUCAUGCCAAAGGAUCAAAACUGAGGGAAGUAGCCAAUUAGCUCAUUUAAUUUUGAGCAAAGGAAGAAAGCAACUACAUCAAGUAACAAAACUAGGCAACAUUAUCAUUCAAGCAAACAAGUUAUGAUAGGCAUAAAACAAUUUCCAUAGUACCGUUGAAUGAUAAUAUUCAAGUAAAUGACUAAGAUAAACAACAAGUUAAAAAUCAUCAUAGAUAUUUUAUAUUUAGACAAAGAUGGGAGGGUUAUUUUCUUGAAAGUAACUUAGUUAAAUUGUCACAUUACAAUGGUAGAGUUAUAAGCGUCUUGACAUGAGUUGAGACCCUAAGAAACAUAUACCACCCAAACUAAUAAAAAACAGAAGCUAGAUAUAUCUACUAUGCAAAUUCAAGCUAGCAUUAAUAAGAAUCCUUCAAAAUAAGAAAAACACCAAAGCGUACGACCAAGACUUAUGGUCACAUUCUUAUUACACUGUUGAAGGUUAAAACGGAUAGCGAACGGGACCAAAUCAGUUUUAAGCUAUUUUGAACAAAGCAAAACAGAGAUUCAGUUAUCCUUAGAGUAAGAUUUUAGCGACUAACAUCUAAACCAAAGAAACUUUAUUAAAAUUUGAUUCCAGCUUACAGACCAGAUAUUUAUAGGAAAAAAGAAACUGAUGCGGACGAUUAAAACGAAGAAAUAACAUGUUCUCAACGACAUAAUCUCCAUCAAAGAUUCGACAUAUGACACAUGAUAUUGAAACAGAAUGCAAGAAGAAAAUGAGGUUACCUUUUUCCGGGCAGCAACUGGGACGAACGAAUUUGAGAGAAGCGAUUCUUCUACCACAAUCUUUCGAAUAGAAACGACAAGUUUAAGAAAAUCCAAGCGGCGAUCUUUUCAGAACUUAGAAUCAGAAAACUAGGUAUAAAAUUUUUAAGUGUAGAAUUGAGUAUUGCUCUCAAGAACUCAAACUUAAAAACCUCUAUCUCCCAAAAUCCAAUUUCAAAACCCCCUCCUAUCACUUGGAUGCAAAGGGUUAUUUAUAGGGGAAGUUGGGGCCAUUUAGGGGGGAAAUUCGUUGGAUUUUUGUAAGAAAAAUUUGAAAUUUUCUUUGCUCCGUUUUGAGACCAACAGUAGAAUGCAUGGGGAGUCCUUUUUUGCUCUGAGACUCCGCGAAAAGGGGGAAAAGGAGACGUGAGAGUGAUGGAUUAGGUUGCUAGGGUUAUGGGUUUGCAGAUGGGUGACGAGAUUUCCGGAUUUGCUGGAUUUUUCUGGGUUGCGUCUGGAGGAAGAAGACGAGUAUGGGCAGUGGGGUCGGGGUACUGUUGGACGCGACUUCUUGCUGGGAAGAAGACGUUGUGCGGGUUUCGAUUUCUGGGUUCAUUCGCAGUAAAGAAGAUGAAGUCGGGGAGGUGGGGGUACUGUUGGGUCGUUGUUGUUAUUAUAUUGUGUGGGUGGGUUUGUUAUAGCUGUAGGAAUUGGUUAAGUAUGUUGUUGUGAUGCAUUGUUGGGCUGCUAGAGUUGUAUGUUAUAUGUAUGGGCUGGGAAAAUUGAAUUGGAAAUGGGCCAAAAUUUGGCCUAUUGAAUUGGGUUAAUGAUUUGAUCAAUUUGAUUGAAAUCGUAGCCAAUUAAAAUUGAGAACUUAGUCGAAUUGAUUAAAUUAGUAAAUUCGACUAAUAUUUAAAUAGGACGAAUUUAAUAUAAUUAAUUAAUGAGCUCCUUAAUCUUAACGAAAUAAAAUAAUUAACUCAAAUAUGAGAUAAAUAAUUUAAGAUAUAAACUAUUAUAUAACUAAACUAAUUAACCAAAUAUUUAAUUAAAACAAAAUCUUUUUGAGACAAUUUUUAAAUAUUCAUAAAAUAUACUAAUUAUAUACAUAAUUAUGUGAAACAUAUAUAUUAUCUAAAAAUUAUAAAAAGUGACAAGACUAUUUAAAAUAACUUGCGAACUAUAUUAUUAAAAAAAAUUUGAAAAAUUUCUAAAACCAAUUAUUUUAAAUCGCUUGAAAUUGAAGAAGCUCAAUGAUUAAUUUAUAUUGUGGAGGUCCAAAAUUGGGUGUCAACAGCUGUCCCUCGUUUGACUUGGAUUGAUGAAAGAAAUUCGAGGCAAAUGAAAUUGAUGAAUCCAAUUUUGACCGACUACAUCUUCAUCUUUAGGAAAUGGAUUUUUGUAUGGACUUUAGGAAUUAUGGCCAAACCUCGGUAUCAGGUUUUCUACAUAUCUCAAGUUAUAUGGGAAUUCAUGCUACUUGUAGUUCGAUACGCUUGAUUUGAUGCAUGAUUGUGAAAGAAUUCAAAUGUUAUCCUGAUAUCCAAUUAUGAAGAGACCAGAAUGCUUGAGAAUAAGAUUUGAGAGAGGAUGUCGGAAUACAGCCGAGUUUUCAAUAUUGAGCCCGCCUACAUAUCCUUAAACCUUAGGAAUCAGGUGUUUGUAGUUCGACUCGGUCGAUUGAAAAGGAAAUCUAUUAUGCUAGAUAACCUUUGUUUCUGGAAGAGUGACAAGUAAGUCAAGUAUGGAAAGGAGGCUUGCAAUCUCUUAGCCAUGAAUGUGGCGCGCUUCACACCCAUAAUUAAGAACUUACACGGACAUAAUUUCCAAAGCACUUGGUGUAUUGUCACUCAGAUUGAAAAGCUGCCUCCGGUGAGAGUGAAAAGUUUUCCAGAUGCGAAAUUCGAACUGAUAAACCCAAGGAAAUACCCACAUGCCUUUUGAUAGGGGUGUGGUUUAAUUGUGGUGGAAGUCGAUCCUCAGCUCGCUUCCUAAGAGUUUGAUACUCCUCUUUGGAUUAUGUCCCAAUUCGCUGCUAAGAAAAAUUCCACGUUGUGCUGCAUCGCUUUUGAUGUUGUCCGCACCUGUGGUUUGAUUUGAGUAUUCAUCCUCUCAGAUGCUCUCAACAAAGACUGACAUAAAACUCAUUAGUGUAAAAUAUAAUUCAAAUGGAGAGAUAGUGUCAUUUACCAUGUUGGCACUUAAUUGUUCUCCUUGAAUAUUUAAUGUCAACUUCUUUCAAUUUGACGUAAAACAAAUAAAGCAUGUGUCUCAUAUUUAUGACAUGACUCUUCACUGUACUCUUCUUUUAAUAUUGAAGUAGCAAAAUAGACUAAUGUAAUAUGUUGAUGGUUCUCUUGGUGGUUGAAUAUGAUGGCCCUCUUGACGGUCUGAAUAUGAUGGCCCUCUCGGCGGUCUAAAUAUGAUGUACCUCUCGGCAUUUCAAUAUGAUGGCCCUCUCGGCAAUUCGAAUAUGCAAUGCCCUUCUUGAUAUUUGUAUAGGAUGGCCCUCUCGGCAAUAUGAAUAUAAAUGGCCUUCUCGGCAUUUGAAUAUGAUGUCCUUCUCGGCAAUUUGAAUAUGCAAUGGCCCUCUUGGCCUUUGUAUAAGAUGGCCCUCUCGGCAAUAUGAAUAUGAAUGGCCCUCUCGGCAAUUUAAUAUGCGAUGGCCCUCUUGGCCUUUAUAUAGGAUGGACCUCUCGGCAAUAUGAAUAUGAAUGGCCCUCUCGGCAAUUUAAUAUGUGAUGGCCCUCUCGGCAUUUUGAAUAUGCAUUGGCCUUUUUGGCAAUUUGAAUAUGAAUGGCCUUCUCGGCAAUUAGAAUAUGAAUGGCCCUCUCGGCAAUUUAAUAUGUGAUGGCCCUCUCGGCAUUUUGAAUAUGCAUUGGCCUUUUUGGCAAUUUGAAUAUGAAUGGCCUUCUCGGCAAUUAGAAUAUGAAUGGCCCUCUUGGCAGUUUGAAUAUGAAUAGCCCUCUUGGCAAUAUGAAUAUGAAUGGCCCUUUUGGCAAUUUAAUAUGCGAUGGCCCUUUUGGCAUUUUGAAUAUGCAAUGGCCCUCUUGGCAAUUUGAAUAUGAAUGGCCUUCUCGGCAAUUUGAAUAUGAAUGGCCCUCUUGGCAGUUUGAAUAUGAAUGGCCCUCUCGACAAUAUGAAUAUGAAUGGCCCUCUCGGAUAUUUAAUAUGUGAUGGCCCUCUUGGCCUUUAUAUAGGAUGGCCCUCUCGGCAAUAUGAAUAUGAAUGGCCCUCUCGACAAUUUAAUAUGCGAUGGCCCUCUCGGCAAUUUGAACAUGCAAUGGCCCUCUUGGCGGUUUGAAUAAGUAAUGACUAUGAACGUCGUCUUUAAUCAAUAUUUGAUAUGAUGAUAGGUACUUUUUUUAUCAUAACAUCAUUUUCAUCGGUAUCUCGCAACCUUAAGUGGUAGAUACUAUUCUUUAAUCUGUCAAAUACCUCUUCGGUCAAAUGAAGAUGUUACACUCACUAAUAGAUAUUCGUUGGAUAUGUUCUCCUGAACUAGUUGGUUGAUAAAUAUAGCUCAUUUGAUGAUCUUAUUAUACCCUGCAUCCACAAAAACAUGUUAGUUUUGGAACACUGAUCUGUGUUGAAGUCGCCUUGCUCCUGGUCUCGUUAUAUCUGGAACUUUGUCUGGUAGGUCCAAUGAAUCGCAGUAGACAAAAGACAAGAUCAUAUUAAAACAUUUUCUAGGUAUGAAGUUUUUAAAAGAAAAUUUAAAGAAAAUCUCUGCCAAUUAACUGUCACGACAUGAACAAAAUCAUUUGUCUCAGAUUUUGACAUGAUAGGUAGCUUGCUGGCAACUUAAAACGCUUUAAGAACACGUCAAUUUGAGGCAAUUGAAUUUGACUUCGAAGGUCCGAGUAUCCUUGAUGGAAUUUUUGAGGUCCUUCUCAAAAAUUCUGUCCCAUUUAGAUGUUUCAAAAACAAAUCUGAUGCUGAUCACGAGAGUCUUGAAUUUGAGAUCUCCUCAAAAUUAUCCCCAGUUGCACGUUUCGAUAUGAUAUUUGACUCUUGUUUGUAGGAAAUGACUCUUCUUGUAGAAUUUUUGAGGUCCUCUAAAAAAUUCUGUCCCAGUUUCCAUUAUGAGGGGAAAUAGAAAUCUUAUUGGGAAUAUGACCGAACCCUUGUGGUGCCUACGUAUCCCGUUAAGGCAAGAAUCAGGUCAAACGUAGUUUCCAUUUCGAGAAGUGACAAAAAUAGAAAAUUGAUAAGGAAACGAUCGAGGCCGACAUAGGCCACCUACGUAUCUCAUUCUUGAGAAUUCAGGUCGAACGUAGUUCAAGUACAAGGGGAAUGUUUCAAAACAUAAUGCAACAAUGAUUACAAGCAAACUACAAUUACAAGGAAAUAAAGAACAAAAGUAGCGUCCUUUAAAUGUAGUAUCUCUUGACGGCAUCUGAAUUGAUAGCUUUUCGCCACACUCUACCGUCCAUCUCUGCUUGAUAGUACUUUGUGGACAACAUACGGUCCUUGCCAGUUAGGUGCAAGCUUCCCUUUAUAUUCCUCUUGAUGAGGGAAAAUGCAUUUCAACACCAAUUGGCCUACCUCAAAUGUUCGAACUCUUACUUUCUUGUUGAAAGCGUGAGUCAUUCUCUGUUGAUACAACUGGACAUGACAAACGACACUCAUUAUUUUCUCAUCAAUCAAUGUUAACUGCUCAUAUCGGUCACGAACCCACUCGGCAUCACUCAAUCCAGCUUCCUGAAUAAUCCUUAAAGAUGGUAUCUCAACUUCAGCUGGUAUCACUGCUUCUGUUCCGUAUACCAAUAGGUAAAGAGUUGCUCCAGUUGAGGUUCAGAUUAUGGUCCGGUACCCUAGCAAAGCAUAAGGCAAAUUUUCAUGCCAACAUUUAUAGUUGUCAAUCAUCUUUCUCAGUAUCCUCUUGAUGUUCUUAUUAGCAGCUUCCACAACUCCAUUCAUCUGAGGGCGAUAUGCAGUUGAAUUGCGGUGGGUAAUUUUGAAUUGUUCACAUAUCUCUUUUAUCAAGUGACUAUUCAGAUUUGCUCCAUUGUCUGUGAUGAUAGACUCUGGAACUCCAAAACGACAUAUCAAAUUGUUGCGAACAAAGUCGGCCACAACUUUCUUUAUCACAGCUUUGUAGGAAGCAGUUUCGACCCACUUGGUGAAGUAAUCACUGGCGACCAAAAUGAACCUAUGACCAUUGGAGGCAGCAGGCUCGAUCUGUCCAAUAACAUCCAUGCCCCAGGCUGCAAAUGGCCAAGGGGAACUCAUCGUAUUCAGCUCGUGGGGUGGUACUUUGGUCAGAUCUCCGUGUACCUCGCAUUUAUGACAUUUUUGGACAAAUCGACUACAAUCAUUUUCCAUAGUCAUCUAAACAUAUCCCGCCCAUAAGAUUUUCUUUGAUAAUGUACACCCAUUCAUGUGCGUCCUACACACUCCAGCGUGCACUUCUUCAAGCAAUUUUGUGGCUUCUAUAGCAUCCACACAUCUCAAUAAUCCCAGAUCGGGUGUCCUCUUAUAAAGAACCUCUCCAUUCAAAAAGAAGUUGUUUGCCAUUCUUCAGAUUAUUUUCUUCUGAAUACUUGUUGCUUUUUUCGGAUAUUCGCCAGCUUCUAAGUACUUUUUAACAUCGAUAUACCAUGGAUUCCCAUCCCAUUCUGCUUCCAGAUGUGAACAAUGUGCUGGUUGUUCUUUUAAAACUAUCUCAAGUGGAUUGAUAUAACUUUUUUUUGGGUGUUGUAUCAUGGAUGAUAUGGUUGCAAGGGCGUCAACAAGCUCGUACUGUAUUCUCGGCGUGUGUCUGAACUCAGUCUUCCUAAAUCUUUUGCAUAAUCUCCAUACCAAUUGUACGUAAGGCAAGAUUUUAGGAUUCUUCACCGCCCAUUCUCCUUGAACUUGAUGAAUCAACAAGUCUGAAUCACCAAUUAUCAGUAAUUCUUGAACAUUCAUGUCAAGAGCCAUUCUAAUGCCGAGAAUACAUGCUUCGUACUCAGCCAUGUUAUUAGUGCAUCAGAAUCUAAGCUUUGAUGUUGCUGGAUAAUGUUUCCCCGAUUCGGAUAUCAACACUGCUCAAAUUCCUGAUCCUAUAGAGUUUAUUGCUCCAUCAAAGAACAUUCUCCACCCAGGAUAUGAUUCUGAUAUGUCUUUCCCUACAAACAAUACUUCUUCAUUAGGGAAAUAUGUUCUAAGUGGUUCAUAUCCUUCAUCUACUGGGUUUUCAGCAACGUGAUCGGCCAAAGCUUGCCCCUUGAUUGAUUUCUGAGUCAUGUACACAAUAUCGAACUCACUUAACAACAUUUGCCACUUUGCUAGCUUUCCUGUGGGCAUUGCUUUCUGAAAUAUAUACUUGAGCGAGUCCAUCCUCGAAAUGAGAUGUAUUGUAUAAGCCGACAGAUAAUGUCUCAAUUUCUGAGCAACCCAAGUCAAAGCACAACAAGUUUUCUCUAAAAGGGUGUAACGGGCCUCAUAGGAUGUGAACUUCUUGCUCAAAUAGUAUAUAGCUCUCUCCUUUCUUCCGGUCUCAUCAUGUUGUCCCAACACACACCCGAAUGCAUUGUCAGAGACGGAUAAAUACAAUAGCAAAUGACUGCCUGCAAGUGGUGGCACCAACACUGGUGGAUUUGAAAGGUAACUCUUGAUGGUGUCAAAAGCCUUCUGACAUUCUUCGGUCCAUUUGGUUGGCGCAUCUUUUCGUAGUAACUUGAAUAUGGGCUCACAUAUUACCGUUUAUUGAGCUAUGAACCGACUAAUGUAAUUCAGUCUCCCCAAAAAACUCAUCACUUCCUUCUUAGUAUUUGGAGGAGGUAAGUCUUGAAUUGCCUUGAUCUUGGAAGGAUCAAGCUCGAUACCUCUUCUGCUAACUAUGAAUCCGAGUAACUUCCCUGCAGGUACUCCAAAUGCACAUUUGGCUGGGUUCAACUUCAAAUCAUACCUACGUAACCUAUUAAAGAACUUUUCCAAGUGUGUCAAAUGAUCCGAACUCUCGCGGGAUUUUAUGACGACGUCGUCCACAUACACCUCAAUUUCUUUGUGGAUCAUACCAUGGCAAAUGGUGGUCAUAGCUCUCAUGUAAGUGGCUCCAUCAUUCUUGAGGUCGAACGACCUCACUCGAUAAUGGUAGACUCCCCAAGGUGUGAUAAAUACUGGUUUUUCUGCAUCUUCUUCAUCCAUUAGGAUCUGGUGGUAUCCCGCAAAACAAUCCACAAAAGAUUGUAACUCAUGCUUAGCACAAUUAUUGAUGAGUAUGUGGAUAUUUGGCAAGGGAAAAUUAUCUUUCGGACUUGCUUUUUUGAGAUCCCGAUAAGCCACGCUAUCUUGAUUUUUCCAUCUUUCUUCGCCACUGGAACAAUGUUAGCCAGCCAAGUGGGAUACUUGGUCACUUCAACGACUCUUGUUUCGAUCUGCUUCAUGACCUCCUCUUUUAUCCUUAAACUCAGAUCGGGAUUGAACUUUCUGGUUUUCUGCUUUACUGGACAGUACUUUGAAUUGAUAGGCAUCUUAUGGGAAACAAUAUCAGUGCUUAACGCUGGCAUAUCAUCAUAAGACCAGGAAAACACAUCGAUGUAUUGUCUGAGCAGCUUGACCAAUUCUUCUCUUUCUGUUGCUGCCAAAUGGACACUGACUCGGGUUUCUCUGACCGACUCGUCAUCUCCCAAGUUUACUGUCUCUGUUUCAUCUACGUUUGGCUUUUUAUUGUCUUCAAGUUGCCUCAAGUCCUCGAUAAGGUGUUCAGGCAUCAUAGUUUCCUCAUCAUAUUCUUCACAUUCAUCUUCAUCGACCUUACUUGGUUCACCGUGUUCGUGACAUGUCAUGACAUUGGCAAGUUUAUAUUCAAUUUUACUAAAAAGAACAACAAAUCAACCAUGUUAGAUAGAAAGAAUUUAAAUGUAUUUAUUGCAGAAUAAUUCACAAUGACAAGAUAAUCAAUUUAAAAAUAAACGAGGCUUUCGUUGGAAUUUUAAAAAGGCAUACAAACUUUGGUCAUGAGUCAUUUCCUUUUUAAACAUUACGAUGAAAAAUAAAGUGACAUAAAUGGUGGUUUCGGGCCUCAUCUGAACAACACCGAUUUUCAAAAAUAAAAACUUCAAAUCUUUUCUUGGUCUACCAAGCCAUUCGAUGGAUCAUAAGUGGAGUGCCCAUCCAAUUUUGUAGCAUCUCUCCAGGUCCGGCAACUCGGAUGGUGGGUGUUGUGCAUUCUGCCGAGAUCACAUCACAAUCUUCUUCAUCAAACAAUUUUCCCAUUGAUGUGAGGCUAAAAAUACAUAUUUUUAAUCAUUAUUUCCUCACAUUUAUUAUUUAUGUUUGUCCUUUUUAAGCAUUAAUUUGAUGGAUUAUGCUAAAUUGAGUAUUUUAUUUGUAGGAUUAAAUUGGUGAAAAAUUGGAGAAGUUUGAAGCUAAAACGAAUUAAAGAUAAAAGGUUGAAGAAGGAAAUCAAGCAGACAGCUUAAUGGAUUAAAAUUUAAUAAAAUAAUAUAUUUAUAUAUAAAAGGAAAUGGACGGCUGCAAAUUGUGGAAAUUCAAUUUUACGCUUGCUGCUGCCACGUGGCAGCAAGUGAAUGCUUUUUUAUUUAGGAGUUGUUUUCUAUAAAUAGGGCUUGUAAACCUCGUUUUUGGGGGUUAGACAUUAUUAUUCUAGUUUUACUUUGUGACUUGGGAGAUCAAUUGGAAAACCUAACAAUUAUUGAUUUCCUAAGUUCGUUUUGAAGAUUUUGGCUUUGCAAUUCAAGUUAAUUUUCUGGGUUUAUUAUUCUCUUGACGUAAGUUCAUGAUUUCUCCUUCUACAAUUAUGAAUUGUGUUCUUGCUAAUAUGAGUAACUAAAUCCACAACUAGGGUUGUGGGAACCAUGAUCGAUUAACAAAGUAUGAAUAGUAAAUAAGUAAUUCUUGAAUAGUGUUUUGCAUGCAUUGAUAAUUCUUUCGUUUAAAAGUCUUUUUAACGAGUGCACGCGUUAGAACUCGUCUUGUUGCUACUUGCCGGACCAAGGAGGUAAUCAACAAGAAAAGAAUUAUCAACAUAGAUUUAGUGUGAUACUAUCUAAUAGGCUAGUGUCGAUUGGUGCGAAGUAAUAACUAAGCCAAACAUCGAUUAUGAUGUCUAAUAUGAGGUAAAGGUAAGGGUUAGUAAAUUAUACACACGUAGCCGGACCAAGGUGCGGGGUGAAAUUCUCUAGAUGCCGGACCAAGGAUUUAGAGAUACCUAACUUAUCACUUUGCAUGUAAUACACUAGAAAAGGAUUACUAUUAUUAGGAUUACUGCGUUAUGAGCUUAUGGGGAACACAUUCCUAGUUACUUUUAAUAAUCUGAAUAUAAAUAAAUACUUAGUUCAAAGCUAUCUUUUUAUUGUUUUUAUUUCAAUUUAAAUCCCCCCAUUUUUUAUAUAACAACUAUCGAGUUAAAUAUUUGCUAUUGACAAUAUUCUUCCAUAUUCUCUGUGGGAUCGACCCCGACUCAUAGUUGGGUAAAUAUAUUGCAUAUGAUCGUUUAUAUUUCUUUUCAAGAAGUAUAUUUGAACGUUAUCAAAAAUGAUCCCUUCCACUAGACCAUCAAUUUCAGGCUCUAAAGCUUUAGCAACAAAUGGCUGGUACAAUACUGGAAUAGGCUUCGGUAUAUCACAGUCAUGUUUCUUCCUUGUUUCUGCUUCAAACAAUUCUUCCUCUGUUGGGGUAUAACCGACAUCGAACCGGAAAUUUUGAAGUGGUAUAGGAAAAGGUUCGGAUAUGCCAUCCAAAUUCUUGCCUAACCCACGCCCAGGUUCAAAACCACUUCUUAGCAUAGUUGUGGCUAGCAUUUUAUACACUUGCGGCAUUGGUACUUGCAGUGUUGUGUCUUCAAAAGCAGCAUUCAUUAUCUUCACCAUGUGAAAGUUAGUACCUUGAGAAGAAUCUUCAAUAACUGGAAUAGAGAAGCUAGGGUAGCUACGCUAACUCCCAUCACCAUGAAUGGUCAUCCCAGAUGAACUUCAAAAGUUGAUGCAAUGUGGAUGGAGCUGCUCCGACCGCAUGGAUCCAUGGUCUUCCUAGCAAUAAGUUGUAGCUUGUAGAUAUAACCAUCACCUGGAAUUCAGUGACAAAUUAUGCAGGCCCCAUUUGGAUACACAAGUCUAUUUCCCCCAUGGUCUCUCUUUGCGAACCAUCAAACGCCCUUACAUUCAUGCGGCUUUGACGGAUUUUCCCUACAUCAUAAUUUAGUUGAGUAAGGGUUGAUAAUGGGGCAGAUAUUGAGUCCUGAGCCAUUAUCAAUCAAUACUCGCGCUACAAACUUGUCCCUACAUUUAACGGUGAUAUAUAAGGCACGGUUGUACAUCACCCCUUCGAGUGGUAACUCCUCUUCUCGAAAAGAGAUUUGAUGACUCCCAAUGACAUGACUUACCAUAGUAGCCAGAUUCUCACCACUUGUUCCCGUCGGUACAUACGCUUCAUCAAGUACCUUCAAUAGUGCUUUUCGAUGGUACUCUGAACAAAUUAAUAGAGCCCAAAUAGAAAUUUGAGCGAGAGUCUUCUCCAAAUGCUUGACAAUGGAAUACUCCUUAAGUUGCAUUCUUAGCCAAAACUCUUCAGCCUUACCCUCUGUGAUCGGCCUUUUUUGGUUCUCCUUUCUUCGUGUCUCCUGAGUUAGUUCUUCUGGAAUGUAGCAUCUUCCAGAACGUGUCAUCCCUUGUGCGGUAGCCGCCUGCACAACAAACUUUUCUUUGAGCUUCUCGUUGCUGCUUUCCUUUGUCAAAGUGAAUGCUUGAUGAGGUGCAGUUAUUACAACAAACUCUGGACGGGCUUUUAUGGUCAAUGAGGCCACUGUUGGUAUAAGUGAGUUGACAUUUGCUUCACCGAUAGUCCCAUUAGCAAGCCAAAUUUUGUCUCUUUCAAUCAUGUUGUUGGUAGCUCCUUCAUGAUUCGGCAAUGGGUUAAGGUUCAUAUUGGGGGCAGGGGCUUGGAGAGUGAUGACUCUGUUAUCGAUCAAGUCUUGAAUCUUAUGUUUCAGAUUGAUACAUCCUUCUGUAUCAUGUCCUGCCUCUCCAGAAUGGUACGCACAACGUUGAUCCGCUCGGAAGAACUUUGUUGUGGGAUUAAUUGUCCUUGCGUCUACUGGUUGGAUCAAUCCUGCCGCUCUUAGAAGCUCAAAGAGUUGGGCACGUGUUUCUACCAAGGGAGUGAAAACUAUGGAAGGCUUUCUUUCGAGGUUAGGGCGGGGUAGAUUGUUGGCAUUUGGGUUGUUUUGUCCUGGAUUUUGGUAGACUGGUGCAUUGGCCGGGUGAUUUGGUAGUGCAUUUUGGUAGGUUGGUGGUUGAUUUUGGUAGAUAUGCGGUGGUGCUUGGUAGUUCUGUUGUGCAUAGUAGAUUGGGAUUGGAGCUUGUGGAGAUGGUGGGUAAAUAUUUGAGGUGGGGAAUCGGUUGGAGUUUCCAAUGGUAGAACCAGACCCAAAAUACCUUUGCGACCUUGGCCUCAAGCUAAAAGAUACAGCAGACACGUCCUCUUUCUUUUUCCUAGCGAAUCAUGUGGCCAUGGAUGGUGAGGUUUUGUUGGCGGCCGCAAGGCAGUGAGAUUUGUAACCUUUCCAAACUUGAGGCCAUCCUCUAUAGGCUUCUCCCAUUCUGAUCAGCUCCGAAAACUUCUAUCCCAUCAUGGGCAGCAUCCUUUCAUAAUACUCGGGCUCCUGAGCUCAAAUAAAACCAGAGGUUAUUUCGCUUUCAGUCAUCACAAAUUGUACCUUUGCAGCUUCUUUCAUCCAGCGGCACGCAUAUUCACGAUAGUCCUCCGUGGUCUUUUGCUUGAUUUUUUCCAAAUAAUAUAUGUCAGGGACACCUUCGACAUUAAACUGGAAUCUUUCCAAAAAGUCUUUGGCCAGAGCCCUCCAUGUAGAUCACUGGCGGAGUUCUUGAGAUGUGAACCAUUCUAACGUCUCCCCACUGAGGCUUCGACUAAACAACCUCAUAAUUAAUGCAUUAUUUUUCCCGAUACCCACGAGUUUGUCACAAUAAGCUCGUAGGUGAGCCAUGGGAUUGCCAAUACCAUUGAAGGUUUCAAAUUUUGGAAUUUUGUAACCUUCAGGUAUUUCCAAGUCAGGGUGCAUGCAAAGGUCCUCAUACUCAAGUCAUGUUAUCUUCCUCGAAGAUUGGACAUUCUUUACUGCCUCGGAGAUGGCAUCCUUCAUAACAUUCAUUUCUUGUUCAUGUUUUUCUUCUCUUAACCUCCACUCCUUCUCCAUUUCUUCAUAGUGAUCCAGCUCCGGUUGAACAGGAAAGCUAGGACAUGGCUCAGGAAUUUUAUAGGCUGGUGGAAUUUGGAAUGCUACGAAAGGGUAUGCAGACUGGCUAGGCAAAGCACGUGGAUUAUUGGAGACUGGGGGUGGGAUUUGGUGGGUUGGUGUAAGGAUUUAGGAGUGAUUAGUGUUAGGUGCUUGGUUCUGAUUUGGUAAUGGUGGUGGUGUUUGGUAGGAAGUGUUGGCGUAAGGAGCGUUGGAUACCGUUAAGUCAAUGGUAUGAGGAUUAGGGGUGGAAGUGAUGGGUCAUGUGGUAUGGGUAGGGAAAUAGUUGGGUAAUGAGGAACUUAGUGAUGGAAAAAGAGGAGGAGGUCUUCUAGUUUCAAGGGGGGGGGGGUUCAUUCGAUGCAAUGGCCAGUUUUGCCAGAUCUUUGGUCUGUUGAAUCUCUUCCUGCAUGUCUGCAAUUCGUUGCAUUAACUGAGAGAUCAACUCACUCUAAUCAGUGAGUUCAGCAUUUCUGAUGGUCACAUCCACUAUUCCUGUUUCUUUGGAACUACCAGUCGUUUUGCUCUUGCCUUUCUCCAAAGAAUUAUCAGGGAAGAAUGGUAUGAUUACUUUUGAUCUUGUAAAGUAGGGAUGGUCGGUCAGUUUGAUUUCAACACAGAUCAGUUUUUACCUGUAGAGAAGAACAACUCAAAAGACAUAUGUGUUAGUUUGUGUUUUUAACGAGAUAUGCAAAUAAGAUGACAUAAACACAUAAGUGUCAUUUUGCUUCAAGCAGAUUAAUCCACGAAAAUAUUUCAGGUGAAUUUAAGGACUCAAAUGGAAAGAAAUCAUUUUUUUUCUUUUUGUAAUUGAAUUGGAAAGUCGACUUGCAUAAAAUCUCGCAAAUUUCUUCCACUCAUACGCUUUUGUAGGUGAAACUCUUCAGAAUCAUUCACUAAUAAGGGAGAAUAAAAAUUGAAAAAAUAGGGACCGAGCCUUAAGUAGGCUGCCUACGUAUCCACCAAGAAAAUCAGGCCCGACGUAGUUCGAAUUACAUAAGAAAACCUAAACGUUCCUUUCCCGAAAUUGAUAGAGAGACUAGGCUCGAAAAGAGCUUCCUACGUACCCCCUAUGGGCUCAAGUCUCGCGUAGUUCUUGAUUACAAUAAAAAUUAAAAACAACAUGACAAACAUGAGAAAUGCGUUACAUAAACCUAAAUCUACCCAAAGGCUUCUUUCAUUAUUCUUCAACUAUAGGGUGACGAUCCGGUGCUCUUGUCAUUUGAACCCUCUUUUGUUUUACCAUUUCCCCUCAUGAAGGAAACGUUUCCAAAAUUUAUUUUCUUAAUGUCCCGUUCGAUUUCGGGGAUCCUUGUAGACGCUUUAGUGAUAUUAAUUAUCUCUUGAUCAAAUUUUGCAAUCUUUCUUUUCACCGAGAUUGUUUCCAUGUCAACCUCAAUAAUUCUCUCUCGUAGCAUCCAUUCAGUUUGGUCUAGUACUGCAAGUCUCCUUUUGGCUGCAGCUAUCCUAUCUUUAGUCUCGACAAAUUUUUUGAAUAUUGAUUCUUCAAUUUCUUCCUCACUAACCAAAGCAAUGGGUGAGAUUGGUGCGUUGACACUCUUUCCAGACAUUCUAGCAAAUCGACCUUACUGUGAUGUACGAAUAAAAACUUAGGAGAUUUUUGGAGUAGAAAAUUUAUAUAUUUUUGAGAAACUUGGACAACACUUCAGAAGUAAUUUGGACGGAUUUUGUUGUUGUGGACUUUAAAUAUAUGCUAGUGUUCUAACAAACAAAAGUGGAUUAAUCCUGCUUUAAACAAAAUGACAAAUCACAACAUAAAAUAAUUAUAUCAAGCAACACACAAACAGCUUAUAUCGCGCCCCAAACUUGUGACCUUUUUAUGCCAAAGGUGGGCCUAUCGAAUUGAAGGAUGUAUGACGUCAUUUGAAACAUUCCAUUGUCUCAUAAAAUUAAAAUUUAUACAAACUUUGCAAACAAAUUAAAUGGGGAUACCUAAUAGGGAAAAUGGGAUACAAAUAAUCAGUCCCAUGCAGGGGUACAAUCAUAAACUAUGAUUCCACGGAAGGCUCUCCGUUCUUGAGCUUCUUGCCAUCUCUAAAUACCAACGUCUUCAGAUGCAAUGGUAAUUUGAUCUUUCUUUGUCUCGAACAAGCUAUUAAAUUUCUAACCCCAAGAAACAAUAUUUUACCAAAUGACGUAUACAUUCUUCAAAUAUAAACACACAAGUAUGGUUGUCUUUUAUUGACCAAUGGGCCAAAUAGACACAAGAUGGACUUCUAAUGGGCCUAAACAUGCCUUGGGUGUUGGGUCAACUUAGUUCAAAUGCGCUAAAUUUGGAUUUGGUUUGACUCUACACUAGUCUUGACUAAGAGUGGCAUUUUUUUUAUAUAUAGUAGAUUGGUGACCCAAGAGGACUACUUAGGCUGGGAUAGUUAACGACCGUUUACUAUCCAGUAGCAAACUACAUUCGUCAAAGUGUCCCGGGAACAAUUUGGUUAACGAACGACUGCGGCCCACAUAAUCGUCUUUUAAGUGGAAAAUAAAAAAUAAGCGUCGUUUGACGGAAUAUGUUAUGCCAUGAAUGCAAUAGCAAUUUAAACACAUUAAGUACAAAUAAACAAUUCAGCAAUUAAUAACAAUUAGUCAAAUAAUCAAAUCUUAUAGUUAGAACCUAAUUAACUCCCCAGCAGAGUCGUCAUUUCUGUUGUGUCGUAAUUUUACUAACCUUUAGAAAAAUCACUUUUAGAAAUGUUCUAAGUAUAAAACAAUUUGAGAAAAAUACUUAGAAAAGAGUCGCCACUUAAUUUUUUAAAGAAAUUAAGAAAACUUAUAAUUUUCAAAGAUUUAAACAGAAAAAAUCAUUUGAAAAUACCAAAGAGGGUUCGAGGUUCCAUUUACACUUCGAAAAGGGUUUAAGCAUUCGAAGUGUCCGCUAACAUGCGGUUGACCUGCGACUUGACUAAAAUAUAUUUGACUAUUUUUAGGAAAAUAACGAUUUAACAUAAAAAAUAAUAACUUACAAUAUUUGAUUAACUUUGAGAAAAUAAUUAAAUAAAUGACGCAUUUUUUUUAUUUUUUUUUAUUUUUUUUAGAGAAAGGGCCUCAAAAAUGAAACAUUUGACUCGAAAUACAAGUGAUUAGAAUAUUAAUAAAACUAGAUUAAUUAGAAUUUAUUUAAUUCAUUUUGAAAUAACAAUUUAAACCAAUUUAAUAAAUUAAAGCAUGAACAUCAUUUUAAAUUAAUUGACUAACCCUUUUUGAGAAAAUGACUAAGUAAGUAUUUUAUUUUAAUUAAUUGAAAAGGCUUUUUUAAAGUUUAUUUGGGAGAAACCUUAACUUCAAACAAUUUAAAACGAACUAAAAGUGUGUUAAGUGAAAAACAUUAAAUAACGCUUCUUUUUUAAGAACAAAGAGUUUCAAUUCAAUUAAUGAUAUCAGAUAUUAUUAGUAAAAUAAAUGAACAACAAAAAAAGUAUUAAAAGUAAACCAACAUAACAAAAAUAACUCAUCUUUUGGGGAAUAUAAUUAAAUUAAUUAAGAAUUAUAAAGUUAGAGUUAAACAACAAAUAAUAAAUAAUCACAAUUAAAUAAUUAAAGAGUAAGGAAGAAAUUGAAUUUGGGCCUCCUUUUUGGUCCAAUUUCGCUGGAUUUUUGGGGGUUUAAUUCUAAACCCAUUUUUGUAUACAUUUAUUGUAUAUCAGUGUAUAUCGGCAUGUAUAUCAACUCUUUCCGUGUAUCUCCUGCUUCUGAACACCUAUAUCCUACCUCGUCUCUGUAUUUUCGCAUUUUUUGACCAGCAAUUCACUAUAUAAUGAGUGUAUACUGUUGUAUACAAUAUGUAUACAACCCAUUUCUUGGGCUUUUGAAUUAAUUUCCAGCAGCAUGUCGGGUCUCUGGGGCUGGUAACAACUUCCGAAUAUGUAGGGGGCUGACUCGAGAAAUAGGGACAGCAAAGAUUAAAUUUUUAUGGCUCAACUCAAAAUGCAACGUAUAUAAGUCCACCAUGGACUCGAGAGGGGUUUAUGCGACAAAGAAAAGAGCCAAAUUAGUAUGUGAAAUAAGUAAGCAAUUAGGAUAUAACUUAAUUAGAAUGAAAGCAACUUAAAUAUUUUUGAGCUAAAAAUGUCACCCCAAGUCACUAUGAGACCAAAUUGAGACCCAAAUGUCAUAAAUUUCAAUACAAGACAAGGGGUAAUAAAACUAAUACUAAAGUAAUGAAAAUCAAGACACAAGGAACUUCAAAGGCACGGGCCUAUAUAUAUAUGUGUGUAUAUAUGACAAAAUUUUAAGCAAUAAUUAACACAAUCCAAGGAUACAUUAAACAACUAACAUCAUCUCAUACAAUACGAAAAUAGAUUUAUUUAUGGAAACUUGAGGCUGUUAUUUUGUCAUGCCAAAUGAUCAAAACUGAGGGCAGUAGCCAAUUAGCUCAUUUAAUUUUGAGCAAAGGAAGAAAGCAACUACAUCAAGUAACAAAACUAGACAACAUUAUCAUUCAAGCAAACAAAUUAUGAUAAGCAUAAAACAAUGUCCAUAGUACCGUUGAAUGAUAAUAUUCAAGUAAAUGACUAAGAUAAACAACAAGUUAAAAAUCAUCAUAGAUAUUUUAUAUUUAGACAAAGAUGGGAGGGUUAUUUUCUUGAAAGUAACUUAGUUAAAUUGUCACAUUACAAUGGUAGAGUUAUAAGCGUCUUGACAUGAGUUGAGACCCUAAGAAACAUAUACCACCCAAACUAAUAAAAAACAGAAGCUAGAUAUAUCUACUAUGCAAAUUCAAGCUAGCAUUAAUAAGAAUCCUUCAAAAUAAGAAGACCACCAAAGCGUACAACCAAGACUUAUGGUCACAUUCUUAUUACACUGUUGAAGGCUAAAUCGGAUAGCGAAUGGGACCAAAUCAGUUUUAAGCUAUUUUGAACAAAGCAAAACAGAGAUUCAAUUAUCCUUAGAGCAAUAUUUUAGCUACUAACAUCUAAACCAAAGAAACUUUAUUAAAAUUUGAUUCCAGCUUACAGACCAGAUAUUUAUAGGAAAAAAGAAACUGAUGCGGACGAUUAAAACGAAGAAAUAACAUGUUCUCAACGACAUAAUCUCCAUCAAAGAUUCGACAUAUGACACAUGAUAUUGAAACAGAAUGCAAGAAGAAAAUGAGGUUACCUUUUUCCGGGCAGCAACUGGGACGAACGAAUUUGAGAGAAGCGAUUCUUCUACCAUGAUCUUUCGAAUAGGAAUGGCAAGUUUAAGAAAAUCCAAGCGGCGAUCUUUUCAAAACUUAGAAUCAGAAAACUAGGUAUAAAAUUUUUAAGUGUAGAAUUGAGUAUUGCUCUCAAGAACUCAAACUUAAAAACCUCUAUCUCCCAAAAUCCAAUUUCAAAACCCCCUCCUAUCACUUGGAUGCAAAGGGUUAUUUAUAGGGGAAGUUAGGGCCAUUUAAGGGGCAAAUCCAUUGGAUUUUUGAAAGAAAAAUUUGAAAUUUUCUUUGCUCCGUUUCGAGACCAACAGUAGAAGGCAUGGGGAGUCCUUAUCUGCUCUGAGACUCUGCGAAAGGGGGGAAAAAGAGACUUGAGGGUGAUGGAUUAGGUUGCUAGGGUUAUGGGUUCGCAGAUGGGUGACGAGAUUUCCGGAUUUGCUGGAUUUUUCUGGGUUGCGUCUGGAGGAAGAACACUAGUAUGGGCAGUGGGGUCGGGGUACUGUUGGACGCAACUUCUUGCUGGGAAGAAGACGUUGUGCGGGUCUCGAUUUCUGGGUUCGUUCGCAGUGAAAAAGAUGAAGUCGGGGCGGUGAGGGUACUGUUG